rnacentral:rRNA from 1 species
AUGGUGGGCACUCUAAGGAGACUGCCGGUGACAAACCGGAGGAAGGUGGGGAUGACGUCAAGUCAUCAUGGCCCUUACGGCCUGGGCUACACACGUGCUACAAUGGUCGGUACAGAGGGUUGCCAAGCCGCGAGGUGGAGCUAAUCCCACAAAACCGAUCGUAGUCCGGAUCGCAGUCUGCAACUCGACUGCGUGAAGUCGGAAUCGCUAGUAAUCGCGAAUCAGAAUGUCGCGGUGAAUACGUUCCCGGGCCUUGUACACACCGCCCGUCACACCAUGGGAGUGGGUUGCACCAGAAGUAGCUAGUCUAACCUUCGGGAGGACGGUUACCACGGUGUGAUUCAUGACUGGGGUGAAGUCGUAACAAGGUAGCCGUAGGGGAACCUGCGGCUGGAUCACCUCCUUAAUCGACGACA